CACAGUUCCUGGCCAGACAGCUGCUUCCCAGUGACAAAUCUACUUUAUGAUCAAGAGUGAAAUCAUCCAGAAUAGAGUGAAUUCGGGCUUCAGAGCGGCUGUUUAGGAUUCAGAGCUCUACCAACAUGAGCAAUCUGUUGGCAUGACAGGUCAGAGAAGCCGUGAAGGACAUGGAAGGAAGUAGAUGGAACUGGAAACAGGAGGCCAACCCCAGCAGUGGUGCUCAGAAAAAAAUAAGACACUGAAAUUUGAGGACUUAAUGGAGUUUGGUGCCUUCAGUUAGCUGAUGUCUAUGAAGCCUGACCAGUCUACUUCUAGUCUAUAAGAUCAUGUGGAAGCUUCAGUGACAAACUUCUACUUUACUAAUGAUUUUAUGAUCCUGUUACCCAUUGCAAUUGCUUAAAUGGUAUUUUAAUUAGCUGCUUUAAAUGACUUUGCUUUUUUACAAAAAGCAGUGUGUGCUUUAGUUUAAAAUAUGGGUCACUGGUGUUUCUUUCUAGAAGAUGACUGUGUUUAGUACCAGGGAAAAUUGGUGAUGUAUUUGGAGAGGUUUUAACUUCUGUAACUCAGGUUGAUAUCUGGAAUGUGAGUGUUUCCAUACUUCCGUGGAUGCAGCAAAUUUAUAUAAAGCGUUAUUAAAUUUGUUCUAGUUUUUAAAU
rnacentral:lncRNA from 10 species